GACGAACGCUGGCGGCGUGCUUAACACAUGCAAGUCGAACGGAAAGGCCCUGCUUUUGUGGGGUGCUCGAGUGGCGAACGGGUGAGUAACACGUGAGUAACCUGCCCUUGACUUUGGGAUAACUUCAGGAAACUGGGGCUAAUACCGGAUAGGAGCUCCUGCUGCAUGGUGGGCGUUGGAAAGUUUCGGCGGUUGGGGCUGGACUCGCGGCUUAUCAGCUUGUUGGUGGGGUAGUGGCUUACCAAGGGUUUGACGGGUAGCCGGCCUGAGAGGGUGACCGGCCACAUUGGGACUGAGAUACGGCCCAGACUCCUACGGGAGGCAGCAGUGGGGAAUAUUGCACAAUGGGCGGAAGCCUGAUGCAGCAACGCCGCGUGCGGGAUGACGGCCUUCGGGUUGUAAACCGCUUUCGCCCGUGACGAAGCGUGAGUGACGGUAAUGGGUAAAGAAGCACCGGCUAACUACGUG
rnacentral:rRNA from 1 species